GCAGAUAGAAAGCACUGCUUGGGUUGGAUGACUGAUCGGAUUGAUCCAUGGAAGAAAAGAAAGCAAGAAACCAGCCCAAGAAUGCACCAAGAUCAGUAGCAGGCGAAGCGGAAGCAGAGCAGGUACUAGACCUGCUCUGAUACCAUAUCAGAACGAGCCCAACACUGUGCACUUAAACUUUGAGGCCCAAUCAUCUCUGGC
rnacentral:lncRNA from 1 species